rnacentral:rRNA from 1 species
CAAUAGCAUAUAUUAAAGUUGUUGCAGUUAAAAAGCUCGUAGUUGAAUAUCUGGUAUGAUGCACCUGGCCCGCCUCUUACGAGCGUGUGUGUCGGAGCGCAUCUGCCAUCCUCUCAGGGAACGUUCAUACCAUUCAUUUGGCCGUGUUCGCGAACUGGGUCGUUUACUUUGAAAAAUUAGAGUGUUUAAAGCAGGCCAAGCGUUUUGAAUACAUUAGCAUGGAAUAAUAAUUUAGGACUUCGGUUCUAUUUUGUUGGUUUUUAUUAACUGGGGUAAUGAUUGAUAGGGAUAGUUGGGGGUGCUAGUAUUGAGCGGCCAGAGGUGAAAUUCUUGGAUUCGCUCAAGACUAACUCAAGCGAAAGCAUUCACCAAGGAUGUCUUCUUUAAUCAAGAACGAAAGUUGGGGGAUCGAAGAUGAUUAGAUACCAU